rnacentral:ncRNA from 2 species
AUCCCGAGACAGGGGCGUCCGCCGGAAGGCGGGCUGAGAAGCACCCUUUGAACCUGAACCGGAUCAUGCCGGCGGAGGGAGUCGAACGGGCCUCAAU